rnacentral:rRNA from 1 species
AAAUUGAAGAGUUUGAUCAUGGCUCAGAUUGAACGCUGGCGGCAGGCCUAACACAUGCAAGUCGGACGGUAGCACAGAGAGCUUGCUCUUGGGUGACGAGUGGCGGACGGGUGAGUAAUGUCUGGGGAUCUGCCCGAUAGAGGGGGAUAACCACUGGAAACGGUGGCUAAUACCGCAUAACGUCGCAAGACCAAAGAGGGGGACCUUCGGGCCUCUCACUAUCGGAUGAACCCAGAUGGGAUUAGCUAGUAGGCGGGGUAAUGGCCCACCUAGGCGACGAUCCCUAGCUGGUCUGAGAGGAUGACCAGCCACACUGGAACUGAGACACGGUCCAGACUCCUACGGGAGGCAGCAGUGGGGAAUAUUGCACAAUGGGCGCAAGCCUGAUGCAGCCAUGCCGCGUGUAUGAAGAAGGCCUUCGGGUUGUAAAGUACUUUCAGCGGGGAGGAAGGCGA